AACGAACGCUGGCGGCAUGCCUAACACAUGCAAGUCGAACGAGACCUUCGGGUCUAGUGGCGCACGGGUGCGUAACGCGUGGGAACCUGCCCUUAGGUUCGGGAUAACUCCCCGAAAGGGGUGCUAAUACCGGAUAAUGUCUUCGGACCAAAGAUUUAUCGCCUUUGGAUGGGCCCGCGUUGGAUUAGCUAGUUGGUAGGGUAAAAGCCUACCAAGGCGACGAUCCAUAGCUGGUCUGAGAGGAUGAUCAGCCACACUGGGACUGAGACACGGCCCAGACUCCUACGGGAGGCAGCAGUGGGGAAUAUUGGACAAUGGGCGAAAGCCUGAUCCAGCAAGGCCGCGUGAGUGAUGAAGGCCUUAGGGUUGUAAAGCUCUUUUACCCGGGAUGAUAAUGACGGUACCGGGAGAAUAAGCACCGGCUAACUCCGUG
rnacentral:rRNA from 1 species